UCAGUGUCAACUGCUUGUCUGCACCAA
rnacentral:piRNA from 1 species